AUGGGGCCCUGGGCAGCCUGGUCUAGUACCAGAUCUGGAGGUUGGUGGCCCUGCCUGUGGCAGGGGGGUUGGAACUUGAUGAUCCUUGGGGUCCCUUCCAACCCAAGCCAUUCUAUGAUUCUACAAUGGUAGUUAUGCCCAACUGACAGGCAUGUAGGGAUCUUGGGGUUUCUUACAUUUUUUUAGGCAUGUCCAAAAUCUGGGCAGUUCACAUAACUGGCUACAAAUACAAAGUUCUUACUGAAGUGCUGUUACUCUAAAUAUGCUUUUCCUAUCCUUCUUUAGCAUUAAAAUAACGCCUUUAAAACUGUAGGUUGUUUCUUGAGGAAUCAUUUUCAGGUAAGCCAUUAAGACUUCGCAGUUGACAAAUUUUCCAUGCAAAUAUUUGCCCUCUUUCCCAAAAUGCUCCAGUAUUGACAUCUUAUCUCCUUAGCAGUGCUAUAAAUGUGAGCUAAGCCUCCAGCAGCAGCUGUUGUGGUUUUCAGAUAAGUAACUCUUGAAGUGGUUGAACUGGUGGUUCAGAACUGGUGGUUCAGAACUGGUGGUUCAGAACUGGUGGUUCAGAACUGGUGGUUCAGUGGUUCAACAGUGGUUGAACUGCUCUCCUGCUCUACAGGAGUUCCGGAUGGUCUUCUGUUUCUGGAAGGGCUCAUCAAGGUACAGAACAUGCCAUUUCUGUUCUCUUUUUCUGGGCUCUGGGAACAACCCUGAAUGUUUUUCACCAGCUUUCAGCAAGGUUUAGCAAAUUCUAAGUCUACAAAGCAUCACAAAUUUAGGUGUACUUGCCUGUCAUUUAAAUAUCUCUCUUGGGUACUUGGAAGAACUCUUCCAAGGCAGCAGCCUGAUGCCAGGAUGCUGCUGGUCUCCCCUCAGGGUGUCCUUAGUAUGUUAACAAGGAAAUGUUUUGAGCAUCUCAGCAUUCUCUCAUUUGACAAGUGGCAAAUUGAUUGUUUCCUUCUGCACCUUAAUAGACUGCCAAGAUGCUUUCAGCCGUAGUGUGAAGAGGAUAUUUGACUCUCAUCUGUGUUUUGUAGUAUUAUUGUAUGCCUCAAAUUCCAGUAGUGCAAGAUACAUUGAGAAGAAAAAUUGUGAAUACUGAACAAAUAUGGAAUUAUUUCAGAUUUCUUGAGGACAGAAAGGAUAGUUUGUCUUAAACCUAAAGGUAUAGUAGUGCUGGAAUCUCAAGGGAACACGGAAAUUUUAGGUGAAGGCUUUUUGUUGAUUGCUGAAAAGAUUUCAGGAAGAGCCAUCAGAGCGUGAGCAAAGAUCACUUAAUUAAGGAAUAGUGCUUUGUGAAUUUCUGACUGGGCUUAUCUACCCUUUGGCAGGCACUAGGGUGAGCCUGGACCAGGACAGCCAAGGAGACCGCCCUCCCGCCCCAUGUCUUGAGGAGAGCUGACAAUGGAGCGGGCCAGCGUGAGCCGGGGUCUCCGUGAGUCGCACCUCAUCUAACAGCAGCCUUCACCACUGCAGUGGGAGCCUCAGACUGCAGUAAUCCCCCAUCAAAAGGGGAUUAAAGACUGCUGGUGGCUUUGAGUGCCUUCAUUCUGAGGUUUCGGAGUGCUUCGGAUUGUGCCUCAUUCAUCACGCUGAACAACUCCAGCUUUUCAGUACAAAAGAUGCGUGAGAAGCUUCUUCCAAGUUUAGCUCCACACAAUCCUUUUCUGAUAAAAGCUGUUUAAUAUCAGCAUUAGCCUCAAAAUCACAAAGGUUUGUGAUAAUUUUCCUGCAGUUCCCCUUCUGUGUCUAUGACGUACAUAUACGGGUCUGUCAUAGAAUCAUUAAAGCUGGAAAAGACCUUUAAGAUCUAGUCCAACCGUGGGCCCAUCCCCACCGUGCCCACUAACCAUGUCCCUCAGUGCCACAUCCACAUGUUACUUGGAACACCUCCAGGGACGGUACCUUCACCACUUGUAACUGUGCACAACUUCAGUAAUAAGGGGUGGGCCACUCAGUGUUACUGAAGCGACCAAAGAUGUUGAAGCCUAAGGUCACUAGCAGGACCCGGGCCGUGUGCAGAAUGACCUACCUGGUUUAGCGUUGCAGGGAUGUCCCCAAGCCCCUGCUGUACGAGGCUGCAUUGUGUGGAGCACUGGAACAAAAAGCCCCAAGACUUGCUCUAAAUGGCCUAAAUCCGCAUAUAAUAUGAAAAUAGUGAGAAUCUCUGAAGUUUGUUGGACAAAUAAUCUGAACUGCAGGGGAACUGACAGUUGGUUCUCUGAAAAAGAGGAGAUCUUUGCAUAAACAGCCCUGGAGGAUGGAAACGCUCAUAGUGCCAGGGGAUUUUGAAGGCGAGCACGAACACUGCCCUGUGGCCAGUCCGUAUGUAGAGAUGAGGAGCAGCUCUCCUGCGGUCCGUGCUCCAUCCUGCUGUACCGCUGCGUGCAGCCCUGUCACAGGUUGGGCCGAUGAACUCCUUGCUCACCCCAGCCAGCAGCAGCAAUAUGGGAGCAGAUCUAAGCCUGCAGUGGAUGGACCAGCUCAGAGAGACGCUGGUGUGGGAGGGGAAAAAGAACAGUUUGUUUUUUAAUGAAAAGCAGAGCCCUCUGCUUGCUGGUUAAUAAAUAUUUGGCCGGAACAAAA